rnacentral:misc_RNA from 1 species
GUGACAAUGCUCGGGAAAUAUUGUCAGAAUCAAUUCCCUCAAUUUCUCAAGCUCUUAGAUCUGGCUCGCAGUCCUCAAAGAUAUCGUUGCUCGAAUGCUUGGCAGUUAUCACUUUUGUUGGUGGAAAUGAUGUGGAGGAAAUUGAACGGUCAUUGCAGCUCAUGUGGCAAGUUGUCAUUCCCAAACUAGGACAAAAUGUAGUUGCAGUCAGGCAAUCGGCAGCUAUCAUAACAGCUAUGGUGUCUGCAUGGUCCUUUGUCCUUACCACUAUGGAUGGGUUGAAACUUAAUUCCAAAGAUUGGCAAGAAUCAAUAUCAUAUUUAUCAAGUCUUCUGGACAAGGAUGACCGUGCCGUACGCAUUGCUGCUGGUGAAGCACUGGCAUUGAUUUUUGAGAUAGGUGUUUUGGAGAAGUUUUCUGCUGAAGCUAAAGGAUCAACUGAUGGCUCCACCCUAGAGGGAAGUAAACCGCGGGAAUGGUUUAUACAUAUACAGGGACUGAAGGGAAAAAUCUUGAAUCAAGUAAAAAACCUCUCGAUGGAAGCUGGUGGUAAGGGUUCUGCUAAGAAAGAUCUCAACUCUCAGCGGAAUACAUUUCGUGAUAUUUUGGAGUUUUUUGAGGAUGGUUAUUGUCCUGAAACUUCAAUUAAGAUUGGAGGAGAUCUGUUGCAGACUUCAACAUGGACUCAACUGAUUCAGUUGAACUUCUUAAAACACUUCCUUGGAGGGGGGUUU